rnacentral:rRNA from 1 species
UACGUAGGGUGCGAGCGUUAAUCGGAAUUACUGGGCGUAAAGCGUGCGCAGGCGGUUUUGUAAGCCCGUUGUGAAAGCCCCGGGCUCAACCUGGGAAUGGCAUUUGGGACUGCAAGGCUUGAGUGCGGCAGAGGAGACUGGAAUUCCUGGUGUAGCAGUGAAAUGCGUAGAUAUCAGGAGGAAUACCGAUGGCGAAGGCAGGUCUCUGGGUAGAUACUGACGCUGAGGCGCGAAAGCGUGGGGAGCAAACAGG